GCAAUUAUCUUAUCUGAAUGCCGUGAGAUUUUGCAGCCUUCCACAGUGCUUCCAAACAAGCUGAAAUAAGUCAACAAAAAAUGACAAACAUCGUUACUGGACUUCCCACUUUCUACAUCAGCCAUCAGAUCAUGCAUACCUACUUUGCUCUUAUGCUGAAGUAACCAGCACAGUAUGAGUCAUGUCUGAUGAAGAUCCAGAGACUUGUGAGUUUCCUAUGUGAAUGUUAACAUGGAUAUUUUAAACUUUUUCUGUCUCCUUCCCUGACUAUUUCCACUGUUCUCACCCCUUUCACCAACACCAAUUCCCU
rnacentral:lncRNA from 1 species